rnacentral:rRNA from 1 species
CAAUAGCGUAUAUUUAAGUUGUUGCAGUUAAAAAGCUCGUAGUUGGAUUUCGGGUGGGACGCAGCGGUCUCGCAUUGCGUUUGUACUGCUGCAGCCCUCCUUCUUGCCGGGGGCGGCCUCUCGGACUUCACUGUCUGGGGGUCAGAAUCGGCGAUGUUACUUUGAGUAAAUUAGAGUGUUCAAAGCAAGCUUACGCGCUGAAUAUAAUAGCAUGGGAUAACACGACAGGACUCUGGCCUAUCGUGUUGGUCUAUAGGACCAGAGUAAUGAUUAAGAGGGACAGUCGGGGGCAUUCGUAUUCCGUUGUCAGAGGUGAAAUUCUUGGAUUUACGGAAGACGAACAUCUGCGAAAGCAUUUGCCAAGGAUGUUUUCAUUGA